UACGAUACUAAUAGCUCGAUUGAUUUACUUUGCUG
rnacentral:rRNA from 1 species